GUGCUCGCUUAGACAAUACAUGUGCUAAAAUUGGAACAAUACAGAGAAGAUUAGCA
ensembl:snRNA U6 U6 spliceosomal RNA